rnacentral:rRNA from 1 species
CCUACGGGAGGCAGCAGUGAGGAAUAUUGGUCAAUGGGCGGAAGCCUGAACCAGCCAAGUCGCGUGAGGGAUGACUGCCCUACGGGUUGUAAACUUCUUUUAUAAAGGAAUAAAGUGAGGCACGUGUGCCUUUUUGUAUGUACUUUAUGAAUAAGGAUCGGCUAACUCCGUGCCAGCAGCCGCGGUAAUACGGAGGAUCCGAGCGUUAUCCGGAUUUAUUGGGUUUAAAGGGAGCGUAGAUGGGUUGUUAAGUCAGUUGUGAAAGUUUGCGGCUCAACCGUAAGAUUGCAAUUGAUACUGGCAGUCUUGAGUACGGUUGAGGUAGGCGGAAUUCGUGGUGUAGCGGUGAAAUGCUUAGAUAUCACGAAGAACUCCGAUUGCGAAGGCAGCUUACUAAACUGCAACUGACAUUGAUGCUCGAAAGUGUGGGUAGCAAACAGGAUUAGAUACCCUGGUAGUC